CUUGCAUCGUGAUAGGGAUAGAUUAUUGCAAUUAUUAAUCUUGAACGAGGAAUUCCUAGUAAACGCAGAUCAUCAGUCUGCAUUGAUUACGUCCCUGCCCUUUGUACACACCGCCCGUCGCACCUACCGAUUGAAUGGUCCGGUGAAGGCUCGGGAUUGCAGCUAAUGCCUUUACUGGUGUUGGUUUCAAGAACUUGUCUAAACCUUAUCAUUUAGAGGAAGGUGAAGUCGUAACAAGGUUUCCGUAGGUGAACCUGCGGAAGGAUCAUUACCACACAAUAAUCCAAACCGCGCUUACAUUAAACCCAUAGGCUCUGGCCCUGCUAACUAGUGGUAAACCCNUCUGUAACCCAUCGAGUCUCUCUGGUGUUUACGACCUUAUAAGAUCUCAUUAUGUGCCACUGCCGUGAUGAUGCAACCUGGAGGCCAACGAGUACGAUCCACCAAUUUAAAUUCAAUCGACAGCUUGACGAGAGUCAAGUUUAAAAGUAUAACAUUCCAAUACAACUUUCAGCAAUGGAUGUCUUGGUUCCCAACACAAUGAAGAACACAGCGAAAUGUGAUACGUAAUACGAAUUGCAAGACUUUGUGAAUCAUUGAAUUUUUGAACGCAUAUUGCGCUGCCAGAUUCUUUCUGGGAGCAUACACGACAGAGUAUCAUCAAACCCCAAUCUAUAACAUUAUUUGUUAUGGGCAAGUGAAGUUGGCUUUAAACAAAGCACUCCUUCUAAGUUAUUUAGUGCAGAGGCAUUUUCACAUUGUAGGAAACUCAGUGUAUUUGUUUCAACGUGCUAUUGGUCAAAAUUCACUUUUUGACUGUCUUCUUAACUGAUCUCUGACUGUGUAGGACUACCCGCUGAAUUU
rnacentral:rRNA from 1 species